UACGUAGGGUCCGAGCGUUGUCCGGAAUUACUGGGCGUAAAGAGCUCGUAGGUGGUUUGUCGCGUUGUUCGUGAAAACUCACAGCUUAACUGUGGGCGUGCGGGCGAUACGGGCAGACUUGAGUACUGCAGGGGAGACUGGAAUUCCUGGUGUAGCGGUGGAAUGCGCAGAUAUCAGGAGGAACACCGGUGGCGAAGGCGGGUCUCUGGGCCGAUACUGACGCUGAGGCACGAAAGCGUGGGGAGCAAACAGG
rnacentral:rRNA from 1 species